GCACUGUUGAAGAGUCCUACAAUAGGACGAAACGGCUGUCCAAUGC
rnacentral:hammerhead_ribozyme from 1 species